rfam:Pelecanus crispus contig21969, whole genome shotgun sequence.
GCUGGGUUAGCUCAGCUGGUUAGAGCAUGGUGCUAAUAACACCAAGUUCACAGGUUCAAUCCCUGCUUACUGCA